GGUUCGAUCCUGGCUCAGAUUGAACGCUGGCGGGAUGCUUUACACAUGCAAGUCGAACGGCAGCACGGACUUCGGUCUGGUGGCGAGUGGCGAACGGGGUGAGUAAUGUAUCGGAACGUGCCUAGUAGCGGGGGAUAACUACGCGAAAGCGUAAAGCAAUACCGCAUACGCCCUUCGGGGGAAAGCGGGGACCUUCGGGCCUCGCACUAUUAGGGAGCGGCUGAUAUCGGAUUAGCUAGUUGGUGGGGUGCAACGGCUCACCAAGGCGACGAUCCGUAGCUGGUUUGAGAGGACGACCAGCCACACUGGGACUGAGACACGGCCCAGACUCCUACGGGAGGCAGCAGUGGGGAAUUUUUGGACAAUGGGGGAAACCCUGAUCCAGCCAUCCCGCGUGCGAUGAAGGCCUUCGGGCUGUAAAGCACUUUGGCAGGAGAAACGGCACGGGAUAAUACCCCGUGCAACUGACGGUACCUGUAGAAUAAGCACCGGCUAACUACGUGCCAGCAGCCGCGGUAAUACGUAGGGUGCAAGCGUUAAUCGGAAUUACUGGCGGAAGCGUGCGCAGGUUCUUGAAAGAAAGAUGUGAAAUCCCAGCUAACUUUUGAACUGCAUUUUUAACUACCGAGCUAGAGUGUGUCAGAGGGAGGUGGAAUUCGCGUGUAGCAGUGAAAUGCGUAGAGUGCGGAGGAACACCGAUGGCGAAGGCAGCCUCCUGGGAUAACACUGACGCUCAUGCACGAAAGCGUGGGGAACAAACAGGAUUAGAUACCCUGGUAGUCCACGCCCUAAACGAUGUCAACUAGCUGUUGGGGCCUUCGGGCCUUGGUAGCGCAGCUAACGCGUGAAGUUGACCGCCUGGGGAGUACGGUCGCAAGAUUAAAACUCAAAGGAAUUGACGGGGACCCGCACAAGCGGUGGAUGAUGUGGAUUAAUUCGAUGCAACGCGAAAAACCUUACCUACCCUUGACAUGUCUGGAAUCCCGAAGAGAUUUGGGAGUGCUCGCAAGAGAACCGGAACACAGGUGCUGCAUGGCUGUCGUCAGCUCGUGUCGUGAGAUGUUGGGUUAAGUCCCGCAACGAGCGCAACCCUUGUCAUUAGUUGUUACGAAAGGGCACUUUAAUGAGACUGCCGGUGACAACAAACCGGAGGAAGGUGGGGAUGACGUCAAGUCUCCGCGGUCUCUUAUGGGUAGGGCUUCACACGUCAUACAAUGGUCGGGACAGGGUCGCCAACCCGCGAGGGGGAGCCAGAUCCCCAGAAACCCGAUCGUAGUCCGGAUUCUGCAGUCUGCAACUCGACUGCGUGAAGUCGGAAUCGCUAGUAAUCGCGGAUCAGCAUGUCGCGGUGAAUACGUUCCCGGGUCUUGUACACACUGCCCGUCACACCAUGGGAGUGGGUUUUACCAGAAGUAGUUAGCCUAACCGUGGCGAGGGCGAUUACCACGGUAGAUUCAUGACUGGGGUGAAGUCGUAACAAGGUA
rnacentral:rRNA from 1 species